rnacentral:tRNA from 1 species
GAGGGUACAGCUCAGUGGUAGAGUGCAUGCCUAGUAUGCACAAGGUCCUGGGUUCAAACCCCAGUACCUCCA